CAAUCUGCAAACCAACCACGAACACAGAGCUCUGAACCCCCAGUCCAUCAACCUCAUCAGGGAGCGGAGACCCGUCAACAAAGGGCACAUAGUGUGGAGCGGCCACGAUUCCAGCGCACUCACAGUAUGGAUUCAAGUGAAAUUGGUAAUCAUCAGCGUGCCCAAAGUGCAGAGCCCCCAAACUAUGAACAGAGUCCUGGUAUACACCCUAGCACCAUGGGUCAUCAGCCUGGAUUUAGGCAAAUCAAGCAAUCCCUACCAAGGCGAGAUGGUCAAGAUGUUCAAGAACCAUCACAAAUGCACAGACCUUCCCAACAACCACACCCAGCAUACAAAAAUCUCCAGCAGCCAUCACCUGGUCCCAGAGAUGCCCCACCACAUGUACACAAGUAUCGGGCUAUCCUUCAACCAGUACCUUUGGAUCGGGAUACUUGCCAAACAGCUCAAGUACAUGCACCUACUCAGAAGCCUCUACAUGAACAUGAACAAAACUUGCAUUCACAUCCGUCACAUGGCCAUUAUGCUCACAGCCAACCUCUGCAGUAUGGUUCAGUCCAGGCACUACCUCCAGCAUAUGGACAAUUUGUUCAUUCCGCUCCUUCCUAUACACCUAGCCCUCUAUCCCCACCUUCAAAUGCUCAUGCAGCUCACCCUGUUCCUGGACCUUCACUUAGUAAGUCUGAGAUGCUGGACUCCAAAGGACACUUGGCCGCACCUGGUUCGACAUCUGCUGACAAAGCGGGUGAAGAGACUAGACAGAGGGCUAGUGCUGAUCACAUUCAGACCAUUCACAGAGAAGGUCAAUCAGCAUCCAGAAAGGAUCCAGCCUCAGAAGGGUUACUUAGGAGCAGAAAGGCUGUGCUACCCUCAGAGAUCCGCCGCAGGCAAAAGAUUGUGGAUGAUCCCAUGCGUGGACAAACUGAUGAAGGUUUGGAAAUUCGAAGGAUCAGCCAGUCAGAGGAAAUUGAGGUGAGAGGUGGAAGAAAGUUGCACCAGUUGGAAGAAAAGGAAGGGCCUAAUGGAAGAGGAAGUGCUCAGAUGGAGGAGGGAAUAAUAACAGGUGAAAAGGUAAUAUGUCUAAUAAAAGACAAAGAACAGCAUGAUGACCGAAGAACCAGUCGAUCUGAAGAAAGACAGUUAGAUAAUGGCACAAAGAAUAGCUGGACAGGUGAAGAUGUGGUACGUGGUAUAAGGAAGAUUAGGCAAAGAGAAGAAAAUACUCAAGGGGCUGAAAUUAAAAAAGAGGAGGGUCAACAUAAUUGGAGCACUAACCGGUUUGAGUGGAUGGAACAAAGUGGUGUCAGGAAGGUUGACGAAUUCAAAGAAAGAGAAGUUGAUCUAAGACAAGGCCAAACUGUACAGUCUGUUGAACCACUGGUACAGGGUGAUAAGAAAACCAGUCAAGAGGUAGAGGAGCAGAAAGAAGGCCAAAGGUUGCUGCAAAAGGAAGGGGCAGAAGGACAUGGUAGAAGACGACGGAUCAAUCUGUCAGAGAAUGAAGAAGGGCAUGCCAGACGAAGAAGGAAAAGCCAAUUGGAAGAUGAUUGGGAGGGACGUAGGGUACGUAAAAUUGGCCAGUUGGAUGAAUGGGAAGUGCAAGGAGUGCAUCGAAUGGGCCAGCCAGAUGAUAAUUUUGAAAGACAUGAGAAAGGAAAGCAGAGGUUAAACACGCAUCUACCUGAAGAAAUGGACACAGCUCCCACACAGCCAACCAAUGAACAGCAUUUCCCACACCAUAGGGUGGGGGAUGUUGGAGGCUACUUGCAGAAAGGUUCCUCCCUCCCACAAGCUCAACAUCGAGUGAGCCAGGAUGCAGGUGACCUCAGGCCAAAGGUGCGAAUCCGCUCCAUGUCAGAUAUUGGAGUAACUC
ensembl:lncRNA